GACGAACGCUGGCGGCGUGCUUAACACAUGCAAGUCGAACGGAAAGGCCCUGCUUUUGUGGGUUGCUCGAGUGGCGAACGGGUGAGUAACACGUGAGUAACCUGCCCUUGACUUUGUGAUAACUUCAGGAAACUGGGGCUAAUACCGGAUAGGAGCUCCUGCUGCAUGGGGGGGGUUGGUAAGUUUCGGCGGUUGGGGAUGGACUCGCGGCUUAUCAGCUUGUUUGUGGGGUAGUGGCUUACCAAGGCUUUGACGGGUAGCCGGCAUGAGAGGGUGAACGGCCACAUUGGGACUGAGAUACGGCCCAGACUCCUACGGGAGGCAGCAGUGGGGAAUAUUGCACAAUGGGCGGAAGCCUGAUGCAGCAACGCCGCGUGCGGGAUGACGGCCUUCGGGUUGUAAACCGCUUUCGACUGUGACGAAGCGUGAGUGACGGUAAUGGGUAAAGAAGCACCGGCUAACUACGUG
rnacentral:rRNA from 1 species